UGGGGAAUAUUGCACAAUGGGCGCAAGCCUGAUGCAGCCAUGCCGCGUGUGUGAAGAAGGCCUUCGGGUUGUAAAGCACUUUCAGCGAGGAGGAAGGCAUUAAGGUUAAUAACCUUAGUGAUUGACGUUACUCGCAGAAGAAGCACCGGCUAACUCCGUGCCAGCAGCCGCGGUAAUACGGAGGGUGCAAGCGUUAAUCGGAAUUACUGGGCGUAAAGCGCACGCAGGCGGUUUGUUAAGUCAGAUGUGAAAUCCCCGAGCUUAACUUGGGAGCUGCAUUUGAAACUGGCAAGCUAGAGUCUUGUAGAGGGG
rnacentral:rRNA from 1 species